GACAGAGGGUGCAAACGUUGCUCGGAAUUACUGGGCGUAAAGCGUGUGUAGGCGGUCUCUUAAGUCGGAUGUGAAAGCCCCGGGCUCAACCCGGGAAGUGCACUCGAAACUGGGAGGCUAGAGUACUGGAGAGGUUGGUGGAAUUCUCGGUGUAGAGGUGAAAUGCGCAGAUAUCAGGAGGAACACCAAUUGCGAAGGCAGCUCGCUGGGACGUUACUGACGCUGAGACGCGAAAGCGUGGGGAGCAAACAGG
rnacentral:rRNA from 1 species